rnacentral:rRNA from 1 species
UACGUAGGUGGCAAGCGUUGCUCCGGAUUUACUGGGCGUAAAGAGCGCGCAGGCGGUCGUGCAAGUCGCGUGUGAAAGCCCCCGGCUCCAACUGGGGAGGGUCACGCAUACUGCUCGACUGGAAGGCAGGAGAGGGAAGCAGAAUUCCCGGUGUAGUGGUGAAAUGCGUAGAUAUCGGGAGGAAUACCAGUGGCGAAGGCGGCUUCCUGGCCUGUUCUUGACGCUGAGGCGCGAAAGCUAGGGUAGCAAACGGG